rnacentral:rRNA from 1 species
GUGGGGAAUCUUGCGCAAUGGGCGAAAGCCUGACGCAGCCAUGCCGCGUGAAUGAUGAAGGUCUUAGGAUUGUAAAAUUCUUUCACCGGGGACGAUAAUGACGGUACCCGGAGAAGAAGCUCCGGCUAACUUCGUGCCAGCAGCCGCGGUAAUACGAAGGGGGCUAGCGUUGCUCGGAAUUACUGGGCGUAAAGGGCGCGUAGGCGGACAGCUUAGUCAGAGGUGAAAGCCCAGGGCUCAACCUUGGAAUUGCCUUUGAUACUGGCUGUCUUGAGUUUGGGAGAGGUGAGUGGAACUCCGAGUGUAGAGGUGAAAUUCGUAGAUAUUCGGAAGAACACCAGUGGCGAAGGCGACUCACUGGCCCAAUACUGACGCUCAUGUGCGAAAGCUAGGGCAGCGAACGGGAUUAGAUACCCCGGUAGUCC